rnacentral:ncRNA from 1 species
CACAGGUAUGGUCCCAGCUUUCAUAUCGGCUUUAACCAAAUUUACACAUGCAAGUAUCCGCACCCCCGUGAGAAUGCCCUCAACACCCAACCGGAUUAGAGGAGCAGGUAUCAGGCACGCACAAGCAGCCCAAAACGCCUUGCUCAGCCACACCCACAAGGGUAUUCAGCAGUGAUUAACAUUAAGUAUAAGCGAAAGCUUGAUUUAGUUAAGGUUAAGAGGGUCGGUAAAACUCGUGCCAGCCACCGCGGUUAUACGAGAGACCCAAGUUGAUAUCCUCGGCGUAAAGCGUGAUUAGAGGAUUCCACAAACUAAAGCCAAAACUUCUCAAGGCCGUUAUACGCUUACCGAGAACAGUAGGCCCAACCACGAAGGUAGCUUUAAAACACAACACCUUGACUCCACGACAGCUGGGAAACAAACUGGGAUUAGAUACCCCACUAUGCCCAGUCAUAAACUUUGAUGGCAAUACACAAAUGCCAUCCGCCAGGGAACUACAAGCGCAUUGCUUAAAACCCAACGGACUUGGCGGUGCCCCACACCCACCUAGAGGAGCCUGUUCUGUAACUGACAACCCCCGUUAAACCUCACCACCCCUAGCAUACUCAGUCUAUAUACCACCGUCGCAAGCUCACCCUGUGAAGGAUAAAGUAGCAAGCAAGAUGGGCAAACCCCAAAACGUCAGGUCGAGGUGUAGCAUAUGGGAUGGCAAGAAAUGGGCUACAUUUUUUGUCUCACAAAAAAUACGGACAGACGCUGUGAAAACAGCACUCGAAGGAGGAUUUAGCAGUAAAAAGAAAACAGAGAGUUCUUUUGAAGCCGGCCCUGGGGCGCGCACACACCGCCCGUCACCCUCCGCUAAAUAUUUCUGUAAAGAAUGCCCCCAUAAACACCCCCACUACUUAAUAAAACACAAUCACCCCCAGCGGAGACAAGUCGUAACAUGGUAAGUGUACCGGAAGGUGCACUUGGAACAAC